GCAAUUAUCAAGGUAGCAUAAUUAAUCCCAUAACCACAUGAUCAAUGUAUACAAGAAUUAAGAAUAUCACAUAUAAACAACACAAUAAACCAUCAUUUAUUAUCAUUAUUCACGUUCAUCAGUGUCCAUCUAUUCCGUCAGUUUUCCGGACCGCCCGUAUCCGUGGGCACGGCUAGUAUACCAGAUUUAACACUCUGCAGAGGUUGUACAUCUUUACCCAUGAGUCAUGAUUUACCCUUUCGCCCGAGGUUGCAAGUCUCUUAACCCCCUUCCUAGGGAGGUCGGCAGGGAUCACUAUGAAGCCUUUCAAAGGUUUCGUCUAACAAGUUAGGGCCAUUAGAUUCACUCGGCAGG
rnacentral:lncRNA from 1 species